rnacentral:rRNA from 1 species
UACGGAGGGUGCGAGCGUUGUCCGGAAUCAUUGGGCGUAAAGGGCGCGUAGGUGGCCCGGUCAGUUCGUGGUGAAAGCGCGGGGCUCAACCCUGCGUCGGCCAUGAAUACUGCCGCGGCUGGAGCACUGUAGAGGCAGGCGGAAUUCCGGGUGUAGCGGUGGAAUGCGUAGAGAUCCGGAAGAACACCGGUGGCGAAGGCGGCCAACUGGACGAAUACUGACGCUGAGACACGAAAGCGUGGGGAGCAAACAGG